rnacentral:pre_miRNA from 1 species
AAGGUUACUUGUUAGUUCAGGACCUCAUUAUUUCUUGCCUGAACUAUUGGAGUAGCCUCCU